GCCCCGCCCCCUGCCGGAGCUCUUUGGAAAGUUCCGCGCUGCGCUGCGGCCUCCCGGGGACUAAGAACAGACUCCGCCCCGCUGGCGAUCUGCUGCUCCCCGGGGCUGCUUCCGCCACCCUACGAAGGGCCACUCGCCGCCCGUGUUGCCUCUGUCUCUACGGAAACAUUCCCCCGACAAACAUCCCCCCGCCCUCAAGCCGCCGCUCGGCCCUCGGGCUCCUGCAAGACCAAGGGGAUCACGGUAGAGUCUCCCCGAGCGCAAUAGAACAGCACCCCCGUGUGGCCCUGUCCUCCAGAACCCGCGGAAUGGCCGGAUUCGUGGGCUGCAGCAGAGACCCGCCAGACCUGUGCUAAGGUAUGCGGGCCUCUCACUGUUGUGGCCUCUCCUGUUGCGGAGCACAGGCUCCGGAUGCACAGGCCCCGGACGCGCAGGCUCAGCGGCCAUGGCUCACGGGCCCAGCCGCUCCGCAGCAUGUGGGAUCCUCCCGGACCGGGGCACGAACCCGUGUCCCCUGCAUCGGCAGGUGGACUCUCAACCACUGCGCCAGCAGGGAAGCCCCUCUCCUGGUGAUUUGAAGUAACAACGCAUCUUACCAUCGAUGGCCUCUUGGAUGUGAAUGGUCACUGGAGUAACAGUAAUACUCAGAGAAAACACUCUUGUAACACUUACUAUGAGCCAAGAGACACUGAAGACCAGAGCUGCCUUGCAAGAACUUUGACUGCCCUGAGGCCACCAUGAUUAGAGGAAGCCCAAACCAG